GGGCAUCCCACCCCAGCACUUUCUAGGAAGGAGGGCAGCAUUUUGAAGGGCUGGAAGUAGAGGAAGGAGGUUGCGGGUAGAAGACUCCAUACUUUCUGUGAUGCCUAUUCCUUAGCAGGAGGAAAAACAUCUGAAGAAUAUAUUUGUAGACUUCCUGGAAAUUGAUAAGUUGUCUCCAUAACUAAAGCAAGCAGAUUUUACUAAUUAGAAUUAUCUACAUAAUUUUACUUCAUUCACUUCUUUCUGUCAUACUAGGAGAGCCUUUAUAUAACCAAAGAUAUUUUUGGACCAUGAAUUCGGAAAUUCUCGGAGCCACCCAUCAGUGCCUGAGCUUCAGUGAGUCCAUAUCCCAUGUCACCCACGGCAAAGGAGAAUCUAAGACUUCUGAAGAGUUUCUUGCUUCUUUCCUGUGGGGCAGUGACUCCACUUCCCAGCAGUAAUGGAAUAUCCUGAAUUAGCUACAUUAAUGUUAGAACCAUUUGGACCUCACCCAGGACUUCAACUACAUUAUGCUAAAGUUACAGAACCCAAAUUUGGCAACUGUCUGCAUCUGAACAACAGAAGUUUCAACAUUCUGCCAACAGAGUAACUCCUGGACGAUUGGCACAGAAGGCACAAGGCAAAUACCUAUCUCUGUACACCCUGUGCUACUGUGUCAUGUGCUGCUCCAGGCAACUCCAAUGGAUUGGCCACCCUGGCCAAUGUGUUCUAGUAUGUUAGGUUUAUGUUCCCCUGCUUUCUACAAUCCUGUUCAAAGAGUUGCUGACUUAACCACAGAGAGGAUUCCAGAACAUGAGACACAGAAUAAACUUGAGCAAUCAUAGUCCAUCCACUUCAUUUUCUCAUCAAAAACCAAAGGUCCAGUGAAGCUCUGGAACUCAACGCUGUAAAGGAGCGAAGGAGCUUCUAUACAGAGCCU
rnacentral:antisense_RNA from 1 species